rnacentral:rRNA from 1 species
GGCGAACGCUGGCGGCGUGCUUAACACAUGCAAGUCGAACGGAAGGGCCCUGCUUUUGUGGGGUGCUCGAGUGGCGAACGGGUGAGUAACACGUGAGUAACCUGCCCUUGACUUUGGGAUAACUUCAGGAAACUGGGGCUAAUACCGGAUAGGAGCUCCUGCUGCAUGGUGGGGGUUGGAAAGUUUCGGCGGUUGGGGAUGGACUCGCGGCUUAUCAGCUUGUUGGUGGGGUAGUGGCUUACCAAGGCUUUGACGGGUAGCCGGCCUGUGAGGGUGACCGGCCACAUUGGGACUGAGAUACGGCCCAGACUCCUACGGGAGGCAGCAGUGGGGAAUAUUGCACAAUGGGCGGAAGCCUGAUGCAGCAACGCCGCGUGCGGGAUGACGGCCUUCGGGUUGUAAACCGCUUUCGCCUGUGACGAAGCGUGAGUGACGGUAAUGGGUAAAGAAGCACCGGCUAACUACGUG